rnacentral:rRNA from 1 species
GACGAACGCUGGCGGCGUGCCUAACACAUGCAAGUCGAGCGGGGUUGAAGCGAGGGGUAACUCGAGUUUCUACCUAGCGGCGGACGGGUGAGUAACGCGUGGGCAACCUGCCUCAAGGACUGGGAUAACAGCUCGAAAGGGCUGCUAAUACCGGAUAAGCCUAUGGCCUCGCAUGGGGCCAUGAGCAAAGGGGAAACCCGCCUUGAGAUGGGCCCGCGUCCCAUCAGCUAGUUGGUGAGGUGAAGGCUCACCAAGGCGACGACGGGUAGCCGGCCUGAGAGGGUGACCGGCCACACUGGGACUGAGACACGGCCCAGACUCCUACGGGGGGCAGCAGUGGGGAAUCUUGCACAAUGGGCGAAAGCCUGAUGCAGCGACGCCGCGUGAGCGAAGAAGGCCUUCGGUUGUAAAGCUCUGUCUGGAGGGACGAAGGAAGUGACGGUACCUCCGGAGGAAGCCACGGCUAACUACGUGCCAGCAGCCGCGGUAAAGUACGUACGUACGUCGUCG